rnacentral:rRNA from 1 species
GCGCAUCUGUGCAUGCAGCAUAUCAAUAAGCGGAGGAAAAGAAACUAACAAGGAUUCCCCUAGUAACGGCGAGUGAAGCGGGAAGAGCUCAAAUUUGAAAUCUUAAAGGGUUUCCCUUUACGAAUUGUAGUUUAAAGAAGUGUUUUCUGUUGAGGUUUUGGUAAAAGUUCUUUGGAAUAGGACAUCAUAGAGGGUGAGAAUCCCGUAUUUGACCCUUUACUUUCAACUUUGUGAUACACUUUCAAAGAGUCGGAUUGUUUGGGAAUGCAGUCCAAAAUGGGUGGUAAAUUUCAUCUAAAGCUAAAUAUUGGCGAGAGACCGAUAGCGAACAAGUACCGUGAGGGAAAGAUGAAAAGAACUUUGAAAAGAGAGUUAAACAGUACGUGAAAUUGUCAAAAGGGAAGCGUUUGACACCAGUGUUGUUUUUCUGAAAAUCAAUUAAAGAACUGUUUAUGCUAAGCUGUUUAGACUUUAUCAGCCUAUCUGUUUAGUUUUGAGCUUUUCUUUAAUGCACUUUUCAGUUAACAAGUCAACAUCAAUUUCUUUUGCUGUAAAAAAGCUUGAGGAAGGUGGCUUGAGAUUCGUCUUAAGUGUUUAUAGCCUCUUGCCUAUGCAGUCGGAGAGAUUGAGGUCUGCAGCGUAGAUCCUUCGGGGCUAAAUGCAUUUGUGCUAAGUUAUAGCAUUUUCAUAGACAACUUGUUGACUAUGAUUUGUCUUGUAGCUUACUCGCUUAUGUUAUUUUACCUACGCUUAGGAUGUUGACAGCAGUAUAGACUGU